rnacentral:rRNA from 1 species
CUCAGGAUGAACGCUAGCGGCAGGCUUAACACAUGCAAGUCGAGGGGUAUAAGUCUUCGGAUUUAGAGACCGGCGCACGGGUGCGUAACGCGUAUGCAAUCUACCUUUUACAGAGGGAUAGCCCAGAGAAAUUUGGAUUAAUACCUCAUAGCAUAGCAGCUUCGCAUGAAGCCACUAUUAAAGUCACAACGGUAAAAGAUGAGCAUGCGUCCCAUUAGCUAGUUGGUAAGGUAACGGCUUACCAAGGCUACGAUGGGUAGGGGUCCUGAGAGGGAGAUCCCCCACACUGGUACUGAGACACGGACCAGACUCCUACGGGAGGCAGCAGUGAGGAAUAUUGGACAAUGGGCGCAAGCCUGAUCCAGCCAUGCCGCGUGCAGGAUGACGGUCCUAUGGAUUGUAAACUGCUUUUAUACGAGAAGAAACA